UACGGAGGAUGCAAGCGUUAUCCGGAAUGAUUGGGCGUAAAGCGUCCGCAGGUGGCUGUGUAAGUCUGCUGUCAAAGAGCAAAGCUCAACUUUGUAAAGGCAGUGGAAACUACACGGCUAGAGUGCGUUCGGGGCAGAGGGAAUUCCUGGUGUAGCGGUGAAAUGCGUAGAGAUCAGGAAGAACAUCGGUGGCGAAAGCGCUCUGCUGGACUGCAACUGACACUCAGGGACGAAAGCUAGGGGAGCGAAUGGG
rnacentral:rRNA from 1 species